rnacentral:lncRNA from 1 species
CAGUAGAUCAAUUACAUUAGGAAAAGACCAUUGUCAAAAAAACAUGUUAGUUUAUAACAAGUAGCCACAGACUUCUAAAAAAUAAAGCCGAACAUGGUUAAAGAAUACAGCAACAUUGGAACUUCAAACUUGAUAUAUGAACAAACAAGUAGACAGCAAUAGCAAAAUCUUCUCAGUGUGCUAUGUAGAUCUAAAAGUGUGCUCUGUAAUACUAACAAUAUCUGGAUAUAACAAAAUGCUCAAUAAAGCUUCCAGAACACCACUAAACCAGAUAGCAACAGUAACAUGGUUAAUAUGUAUUUCAUGGCACCGUCCAGUGGUAUAAACAUACUGCAGCGAACAAUUAUAGCUAAAUGCCUCCGUUUCUAGGCAACAUGAGCUGUUCUGAACAGA